rnacentral:rRNA from 1 species
GGGGGGAGCAAGCGUUGUUCGGAUUUACUGGGCGUAAAGGGCGCGUAGGCGGCCAGCACAAGUCAGUUGUGAAAUCUCCGAGCUUAACUCGGAAAGGUCAACUGAUACUGUGCGGCUAGAGUGCAGAAGGGGCAACUGGAAUUCUCGGUGUAGCGGUGAAAUGCGUAGAUAUCGAGAGGAACACCUGCGGCGAAGGCGGGUUGCUGGGCUGACACUGACGCUGAGGCGCGAAAGCUAGGGGAGCGAACGGGAUUAGAUACCCCGGUAGUCCUAGCCUUAAACGAUGAAUGCUUGGUGUCUGGGGUUAUAAAGUCCCUGGGUGCCGUCGCUAACGCUUUAAGCAUUCCGCCUGGGGAGUACGGUCGCAAGACUG